GACGAACGCUGGCGGCGUGCUUAACACAUGCAAGUCGAACGGUGACCCAGGGCUUGCCCUGGUGAUCAGUGGCGGACGGGUGAGUAACACGUUGGAACCUGCCCCAAAGUGAGGAAUAAGCCACCGAAAGGUGGUCUAAUACUUCAUAAUAUCCAUCUCGUAUGGAUUAAAGCUUUAUGCGCUUUGGGAGGGGCCUGCGUAACAUUAGCUUGUUGGUGAGGUAAAAGCUCACCAAGGCUUCGAUGUUUAACUGGUUUGAGAGGAUGACCAGUCACACUGGGACUGAGAUACGGCCCAGACUCCUACGGGAGGCAGCAGUAAGGAAUCUUCCACAAUGGGGGCAACCCUGAUGGAGCAAUACCGCGUGCAGGAUGAAGCGUUUCGGUGUGUAACUGCUUUUAUCUACCGAAGAUUAUGACUGUAGGUGAGAAUAGGACCGGCUAACUACGUGCCAGCAGCCGCGGUAAU
rnacentral:rRNA from 1 species